rnacentral:rRNA from 1 species
GGAAUAUUGCACAAUGGGGGAAACCCUGAUGCAGCGACGCCGCGUGAGCGAUGAAGAAUUUCGGUAUGUAAAGCUCUAUCAGCAGGGAAGAAGAAAGACGGUACCUGACUAAGAAGCCCCGGCUAACUACGUGCCAGCAGCCGCGGUAAUACGUAGGGGGCAAGCGUUAUCCGGAUUUACUGGGUGUAAAGGGAGCGUAGACGGCUGUGCAAGUCUGAAGUGAAAGCCCAGGGCUCAACCCUGGGACUGCUUUGGAAACUGUGGAGCUAGAGUGCUGGAGAGGUAAGUGGAAUUCCUAGUGUAGCGGUGAAAUGCGUAGAUAUUAGGAGGAACACCAGUGGCGAAGGCGGCUUUCUGGACGAUGACUGACGUUGAGGCUCGAAAGCGUGGGGAGCAAACA